GAAGCUUCUUAAGGCCCAAACUCAGAUGAAGAAGUUCACAGACACGAAGAGGAGGGAAGUGUCGUAUCAGCCCAGAGAUUGAGUCUUACUCAAACUCAGGCCUCGCAGACAAUCAUCAGUGAAGGAUAAUCCUGGGGUGCACGGGAAAUUAGCAAAGAGGUUCUAUGGUCCAUUUAAGGUGCUUGAGCGUGUGGGACCAGUUGCGUAUCGAUUAGAGCUGCCGGAAAAUGCGCGUGUUCACCCUGUUUUCCAUUGUUCAGUAUUGAAGCUAUUUCAGGGGACACCGGAGUCUGAGAUUCCGGCCCAGUUGCCGGACCAAUUUUUGCAGGAUCAACCCCUCAUCUCCCCGCUUUCUAUCUUGGAUUACAGGAGGACCACCCCAGCAGACUCGUGGCAGGUGCUUGUACAAUGGAAAGGGCUGACUCCUGAUGACACGACCUGGGAAGAUUGGGACACCCUACAGCAAGAAUAUCACCUUGAGGACAAGGUGAUUCUGCAAGGGCCCCCGAGUGAUAGCAUAGUAAUGCCUGAGGUGCAAACAGCAGACACAAGUGUAGAACAAACGAAACCACAUGAAGGUGAGGUACGAAUAGCAAGGGAUAUUAAGAGAAGGGUCUCUAGGCCCAAGUACCUGAAGGACUACGUUUGAACAUGAUACAGAGCAACAGACCAUUGCAGUUCAAGCUCAAGAUGCAGGACCAAUUGCAUAACCAAUUUCACAGACUCGAGAACAAGAAGAGAAUGCAGAAGCAACAGAUAAGCAGGUGCAAUUAGUAAAGAGGCCUAAGAGGGUAGUAACAAAACCAUCUUACCUUAAAGACUACGUCUGAGGGUGAGAUGGGUAUUUUAGCUAAGUAAUAUUCCCUUGCUUGGUGCUUGUUUGAUAGUGGGGAACAAGCAUAACGAACUUGUGUAAUUGGGCUCCAAAAUAUCCAAUUCUGUUAGGAAGAACUAGUAUUAAUAGCUAUGUAAUAAUUCAAGCAAGGCAUGAAUGAGAAUUACCUUCUUUGAUUUUUCUUCUCGUGUGGAGGUGCUGGUUCCUCGAAAACCAGUUUUGCGUUUUCCCCUUUUAAUUAGGUGUAUCAGAACACGUUUGAAGCUGGAGGUUCGUGAAGAUGAUGCUGCAGGAUUGUGCCCAAUGGUCUUGAUAUUUUCCAUUACCUUGAUAUUCCAAUUUUGCAUAAAAAGACAAAUUCGGUUAUUGUAGAAUAUCACUAUAAAUAUCCUUAUGUAAAUAACAGCAUUAUCAAUAAGAAUUUCACCUUCUUUUUCAUAUUGCUUGUGGAGGUUCCCCUGGUCCUCGAAUUCCAGGGAUUCUCUAGCUGUGUGUAUCAGAAGGCUAACAGAUUUCCCAACUUUUUAGAAAACUCAUGAGGAAAAAAAAAUCAAA
rnacentral:lncRNA from 1 species